UUUUGUAAACCGACAUGUGUUCAAGUGGACUUGUAUCGCAAUGGAUCCAUCAGCGGUCCGUUCAAUUCUUUCAUCUACACAGACUGGUAACGACCAGUUAUCAUUCAUCCUUGAUUGCACGUUGCGCAAUCUGUGCAAUCAUCCCACACUAUUCGCGGCAACGAGAAAACAUGCUGAGGAGCAAAACGAGGACUCGGACCUCGAUGAUUUUGAGUGCUGCUCAGAAUUGUGGCAAGAAAAUUACAAAGAGGAUAGUUCCCAAAUCCAAUCUCGUGAAGACGCAGGAAAAUUUGUAGUUACAUUUGCUAUUCUGGAUUCUCUCAUGAAAAAUACGAAAGAGAAAAUCAUUUUAGUUUUCUACUCGGGUUCGACGCGUUUUCACCGAGUCGAGUUUCUCUACUCUCAAGUCUCAACGGAUAAUUUCGUUCGAAAAAAUGACGAUUUACUCAAAUCAUUUCCAGUUAAGG